UUAAAUUGAAGAGUUUGAUCAUGGCUCAGAUUGAACGCUGGCGGCAGGCCUAACACAUGCAAGUCGAACGGUAACAGGAAGCAGCUUGCUGCUUCGCUGACGAGUGGCGGACGGGUGAGUAAUGUCUGGGAAACUGCCUGAUGGAGGGGGAUAACUACUGGAAACGGUGGCUAAUACCGCAUAACGUCGCAAGACCAAAGAGGGGGACCUUCGGGCCUCUUGCCAUCAGAUGUGCCCAGAUGGGAUUAGCUAGUUGGUGAGGUAACGGCUCACCAAGGCGACGAUCCCUAGCUGGUCUGAGAGGAUGACCAGCCACACUGGAACUGAGACACGGUCCAGACUCCUACGGGAGGCAGCAGUGGGGAAUAUUGCACAAUGGGCGCAAGCCUGAUGCAGCCAUGCCGCGUGUAUGAAGAAGGCCUUCGGGUUGUAAAGUACUUUCAGCGGGGAGGAAGGUGUUGUGGUUAAUAACCACAGCAAUUGACGUUACCCGCAGAAGAAGCACCGGCUAACUCCGUGCCAGCAGCCGCGGUAAUACGGAGGGUGCAAGCGUUAAUCGGAAUUACUGGGCGUAAAGCGCACGCAGGCGGUCUGUCAAGUCGGAUGUGAAAUCCCCGGGCUCAACCUGGGAACUGCAUUCGAAACUGGCAGGCUUGAGUCUUGUAGAGGGGGGUAGAAUUCCAGGUGUAGCGGUGAAAUGCGUAGAGAUCUGGAGGAAUACCGGUGGCGAAGGCGGCCCCCUGGACAAAGACUGACGCUCAGGUGCGAAAGCGUGGGGAGCAAACAGGAUUAGAUACCCUGGUAGUCCACGCCGUAAACGAUGUCUACUUGGAGGUUGUGCCCUUGAGGCGUGGCUUCCGGAGCUAACGCGUUAAGUAGACCGCCUGGGGAGUACGGCCGCAAGGUUAAAACUCAAAUGAAUUGACGGGGGCCCGCACAAGCGGUGGAGCAUGUGGUUUAAUUCGAUGCAACGCGAAGAACCUUACCUGGUCUUGACAUCCACAGAACUUUCCAGAGAUGGAUUGGUGCCUUCGGGAACUGUGAGACAGGUGCUGCAUGGCUGUCGUCAGCUCGUGUUGUGAAAUGUUGGGUUAAGUCCCGCAACGAGCGCAACCCUUAUCCUUUGUUGCCAGCGGUUAGGCCGGGAACUCAAAGGAGACUGCCAGUGAUAAACUGGAGGAAGGUGGGAUGACGUCAAGUCAUCAUGGCCCUUACGACCAGGGCUACACACGUGCUACAAUGGCGCAUACAAAGAGAAGCGACCUCGCGAGAGCAAGCGGACCUCAUAAAGUGCGUCGUAGUCCGGAUUGGAGUCUGCAACUCGACUCCAUGAAGUCGGAAUCGCUAGUAAUCGUGGAUCAGAAUGCCACGGUGAAUACGUUCCCGGGCCUUGUACACACCGCCCGUCACACCAUGGGAGUGGGUUGCAAAAGAAGUAGGUAGCUUAACCUUCGGGAGGGCGCUUACCACUUUGUGAUUCAUGACUGGGGUGAAGUCGUAACAAGGUAACCGUAGGGGAACCUGCGGUUGGAUCACCUCCUUACCUUAAAGAA
rnacentral:rRNA from 1 species